rnacentral:rRNA from 1 species
CAUGGCUCAGAACGAACGCUGGCGGCAUGCCUAACACAUGCAAGUCGAACGAGACCUUCGGGUCUAGUGGCGCACGGGUGCGUAACGCGUGGGAAUCUGCCCUUUGCUUCGGAAUAACAGUUAGAAAUGACUGCUAAUACCGGAUGAUGUCUUCGGACCAAAGAUUUAUCGGCAAAGGAUGAGCCCGCGUAGGAUUAGGUAGUUGGUGGGGUAAAGGCCUACCAAGCCGACGAUCCUUAGCUGGUCCUGAGAGGAUGAUCAGCCACACUGGGACUGAGACACGGCCCAGACUCCUACGUGAGGCAGCAGUGGGGAAUAUUGGACAAUGGGCGCAAGCCUGAUCCAGCAAUGCCGCGUGAGUGAUGAAGGCCUUCGGGUCGUAAAGCUCUUUACCAGGGAUGAUAAUGACAGUACCUGGAGAAUAAGCUCCGGCUAACUCCGUG